rnacentral:rRNA from 1 species
UACGUAGGGUGCGAGCGUUAAUCGGAAUUACUGGGCGUAAAGCGUGCGCAGGCGGUUUUGUAAGCCAGAUGUGAAAGCCCCGGGCUUAACCUGGGAAUGGCAUUUGGGACUGCAAGGCUUGAGUGCGGCAGAGGAGACUGGAAUUCCUGGUGUAGCAGUGAAAUGCGUAGAUAUCAGGAGGAAUACCGAUGGCGAAGGCAGGUCUCUGGGCUGACACUGACGCUCAUGCACGAAAGCUAGGGGAGCAAACAGG